rnacentral:lncRNA from 1 species
GCAUGCUAGGAAGGCACCGAGUUGCAUCUCUACUGCAUAGUUACUUAGAUUUGACUGAAUCUUUCUAUCAUUUUACAUAAGACUUAGGUGAUGAAGAAAGGAAAGACUGGAAGCCUGGGUAUGUAGUUCAGGGGCAGAUCGGUUGCCCAGAUGAACACAGCCCCAUCGUUCAAUUCUUCAGCAUGCAUAGGAGGAAGAUGAGGAGGAGGAAGAAGAAGAGAAAAAGGAGGAGAAAGAGUAGAGAAAGGAGAAGAGAAGAAGGAAGAGGAGGAGGAGGAGGAGGAGAAAGAGAAGAAGAGGAAGAGGAAGAAUAAGAAGGAGGAGAGGAAGGAGAGGGAGGAGAAGAAGAACUAAGUCUUAUCCAUGUUUUCUGACCAUCUAUAGGCCAACAACACCUGCAGAGCCCCUUGCCUUUCUAAGCAAAUAGGAUCAGAACCCCAGGGCUCGGAACCAUCUAUCUGGAACCUUGGAGAUGACACAAGCAGAGAAGUAAGGCUGGAACACCAGAGGCUGCUGCUUCUUUCUGAGCCACAGAUAGGCCAGACGGUCUCUACUCACAGGGCAAACUCGAGCAGACAGGCGGUGUGGGCAGUGCACACCAUCCCACUGAGAGCAGACGCCGAGCGGUUCAGGAAAUUCAGAGAGUAUGCUGCAUAAGCUACUUCCUUCACCUCAUCCCGCAUGGAUUCACUUUCCCUCUCUUGAGGACAUCUGUUUCUACCCAGUUCUUAGUCUUUAGAGGGUGUCUGUCCCCAUGCCAGCAUCGCACACACA